rnacentral:rRNA from 1 species
ACCACCAACGCCAGGAUAUUACGAGCUUCUAGCUUAAAACCCAAAGGACUUGACGGUACCCCACCCUACUAGAGGAGCCUGUUCUAUAAUCGAUAACCCACGAUAUACCAAACCAUUUCUUGCCUCAGCCUGUAUACCUCCGUCGUAAGCUUACCCUGUGAAUGCACAUAGUAGGCUCAAAGGCCUAACACCCAAACGUCAGGUCAAGGUGCAGCCUAUGAAAUGGAAGCUAUGGGCUACAAUUUCUAAUCUUAGAACUAAUCAAAAUACUACAUGAAAUAUAGUUAUAAAGAAGGAUUUAGCAGUAAAUAAGGAAUAGAGAGCCUUAUUGAACCUGAGCUCUGGGGUA